GACGAACGCUGGCGGCGUGCCUAAUACGUGCAAGUCGAACGAGAGCGACCGGUGCUUGCACUGGUCAAUCUAGUGGCGAACGGGUGAGUAACACGUGGGUAACCUGCCCAUCAGAGGGGGAUAACAUCCGGAAACGGAUGCUAAAACCGCAUAGGUCUUCGAACCGCAUGGUUUGAAGAGGAAAAGAGGCGCAAGCUUCUGCUGAUGGAUGGACCCGCGGUGCAUUAGCUAGUUGGUGAGGUAACGGCUCACCAAGGCCGUGAUGCAUAGCCGACCUGAGAGGGUGAUCGGCCACAUUGGGACUGAGGCACGGCCCAAACUCCUACGGGAGGCAGCAGUAGGGAAUCUUCCGCAAUGGACGCAAGUCUGACGGAGCAACGCCGCGUGAGUGAAGAAGGUUUUCGGAUCGUAAAACUCUGUUGUUAGAGAAGAACAAGUGCUAGAGUAACUGUUAGCGCCUUGACGGUAUCUAACCAGAAAGCCACGGCUAACUACGUG
rnacentral:rRNA from 1 species